AGUCAGUCGAUGAUUAUUUAGACAAUUUACAAUCAAUCGACAACUAAAUAUUUUUGUUUCAAAAAAAUAAAAAACCUUCGUUUACAUCAAAGAAAAACGAAACCCGACGAAGAAAGAACUAUCAUUUUGUAAUCUUAUAAGAUAUUAGCAAAACAGUGACAGUAGUGACGUUCAAAGCAUGCAAAAAUGUUUUAUGAGUAAAUUUCGAGAAACCGGCGAAAAUACUUUGUUUACAAGGCUGCACGAUUUUCACCGUUUUUGUAACUGCACAUUUGCUUUGACAGUUUGUGCCUUCAAAAAACUCAAAAUCUAUCCCCAAACUACAAAUUAGACAACAAGAU